GGGGCUGUCCCGGUUUUGACAGCAUAGAUCUUUGAAAGUGUAAGCAUGCAGUGCUUUGGGUGAACGGCACUUUAAUCCAGAAUACUCAAACUAUAAAUGGCAAUACUCAGUAUGCCAUGGCUGCCUAAUCAGUGAUUAGUUAGUCAUUAGGGCCGCGGAUGCAGGUUGUUCUGUUACCAGGCUCCGCCGCCGACUCAACAAUAAAACAGAAUGCUGCUGCAGAAGGCUGUGACUACGGCUUAAGACCAUACAGCUAAGCACGGAAUUGGUUUGUUCAUUUCCUGUUUUGUGCCGACAAAUAAUAAUGAAAUAAGCAUGUAGAAAGCUUUCGGGGAAUAUGUUUGGACGCGGGUUCGAUUCCCGCCAGCUCCACCG
rnacentral:tmRNA from 1 species